UGGGGAAUAUUGCACAAUGGGGGAAACCCUGAUGCAGCAACGCCGCGUGAGUGAUGAAGGUUUUCGGAUCGUAAAGCUCUGUCUUUGGGGAAGAUAAUGACGGUACCCAAGGAGGAAGCCACGGCUAACUACGUGCCNG
rnacentral:rRNA from 1 species